UUAUUACUCCCUCCAUCCGGAAUUACUUGUUGCAGAAAUGGAUGUAUCUAGACGUAUUUUAGUUCUAGAUACAUCAAUUUUAAUCCAUUUCCGCGACAAGUAAUUCGGGGCGGCGGGAGUAGUAU
rfam:Triticum aestivum genome assembly, contig: Triticum_aestivum_CS42_TGACv1_scaffold_621471_7DS